CAUUUAGUGAAUAAUAAAAUAAAAUAAAACACACAUUGUUUUCCUUUCUCAUUCUUUCUAUCGCUGUUAUGCAAGAAUAAAAGAAGAAAGAGUAAUCCUCCUAUCCGCCUUCGUCAUCUUCCCCAGAAAUCCCUCUCUAUUUUUACUCAAGCAAGAAACGAUAUAUGUGAUUGAAGGGUCGGAGGACUUACCAACGGCGACAGAACCAGGAACGUUUAGGAAGAGCAGCGUCAAGCGAGUCCUUCUUCCGAACGCGAUUGAUCCUUCUCAAAAUGUCGGCUUCUGACUCUCAGAGCUUUCUCCUUCUCUCGUAAAAUUCUUAGGUUUUUUCGCUCUUUAACCUUUUCUCUGUUCUAGGGUUUUUUCGGCUGUCUCAAAAAUUAGGGUUUUUACCUUGGUCGCCCCUCCUUUUAUAUCAACAACUUAGGGUUUUAGAUUGGCUUAUGGAGAUCCAGAAGGGGUUUCUGUGAAAUCUCUUUAGGGUUGUCAGAUUUUUGUCGCCCUAUUUGAUUGUUAAAUUCGGAAGAGUGAAAACUAGAACCUUCAUGAGUGGUUUACAGAUUUCUUCUUCUACUUUGUGAUACAGGCUAUAGCACAACAUUUCUGAUCACAGCAAGAGGUUCUAUGGUUUUUCUGCCGAGGCACAAAUGGAACCAUUUGUUGAGGUUUGCUUUGAUGAUUAUUUCAAUCGCCCGUCUUGAUUUCCACCAUCUGUUUGCACAGUCGGAAGUUAAAAGUGAGUCCUAGGUCUCAUGUUGCAACAGAUGUUCAAUGCUGCAGAAUUUUGGUAUUGCAACUUGGUUUUUGGUUCUGGAAUUUCCCUAUUGGUGGUUAUGGAAGUUCCGUUUUUUAUAGUUGGACCAAAUGGAGUUGGAAAGAGGAAUUAGAAAUUAUGGCAAUGUUUUGAGCAUGUAACCUAUGGUUGGAAUUGGUUUCUAACUUUUAAUUUUUGUGAUUUGGAUGGAAUCGUAUUAUAAAGUCAGUGAAUUGUAUUGAAUGGUUGAUUGUGAUGAAUGAUAUAAUUUGAAAUUAUUAUGGAAAGUUUAUUUAUGAA